GCCACAUGAUGUGAUUUUAGAUGGCAUUAGCACUCUGUGCAAAGAUGACCUCCUAUCUAUCACCCAAGACUGAUGGCU